rnacentral:rRNA from 1 species
CCGGGGGUCGAAGCGGGGGGCUCAACCCCCCGAAGCCCCCGGAACCUCCGCGGCUUGGGUCCGGUAGGGGAGGGUGGAACACCCGGUGUAGCGGUGGAAUGCGCAGAUAUCGGGUGGAACACCGGUGGCGAAGGCGGCCCUCUGGGCCGAGACCGACGCUGAGGCGCGAAAGCUGGGGGAGCGAACAGGAUUAGAUACCCUGGUAGUCCCAGCCGU